rnacentral:misc_RNA from 1 species
CUAGAUCAAACACAAGCGCCUUUUUUCUGAAAUUUAUGUUCUGAACAGUUAAAUCGUUUCAAAGUCUUUUGUUUAUAGCUCAAAUAUAUAGCUUCGUUUGUGUUGUUUCUUAAUAUGGACGAGGUUGGUGUCUUAACAGAGAGUUUUGGAUUAAAACAGCAAGGCAAAUUGGCUCGGAUGGCCGCUUGGAAACCACCCAAUAACACCACCAGUGCCCGAGCCCAAAAUUUCGCUUCAAAUUCAACCUUAGACCAAAACUCGUCUUCAUAUUCUUCGAGAUCUUCCCAAAAUUCCAAUUCAGUUAAUGGGUAUUUUUUUUAUGAUCAUGAAACUCUUUAUAGCAG